CCUACGGGUAGCAGCAGUGAGGAAUAUUGGUCAAUGGGCGCGAGCCUGAACCAGCCAAGUCGCGUGAGGGAGGACGGCACUACGGGUUGUAAACCUCUUUUGCCGGGGAGCAACGGGCGCCACGUGUGGCGUCACUGAGAGUACCCGGAGAAAAAGCAUCGGCUAACUACGUGCCAGCAGCCGCGGUCAUACGGUGGAUGCGAGCGUUAUCCGGAUUUAUUGGGUUUAAAGGGUGCUUUGGCCGAUCGUUAAGUCAGUGGUCAAAUUGAGGGGCUCAACCCCUUCCCGCCAUUGAAACUGGCGUUCUUGAGUGGAAGAGAAGUAUGCGGAAUGCGUGGUGUAGCGGUGAAAUGCAUAGAUAUCACGCAGAACCCCGAUUGCGAAGGCAGCAUGCCGGCUUCCGACUGACGCUGAAGCACGAAAGCGUGGGGAUCGAACAGGAUUAGAUACCCCAGUAGUC
rnacentral:rRNA from 1 species